UCACACAAGAGACCCAAAUUAAUCGUACGCGGCGUAAAGAGUGGACCCAUGAUUAUCACAACGAUUAAGACCGAAGUGUAGCUGAGCUGUCAUAAGCUUAAGAUACACCUAACCCCGCCCUAAAAACGACCUUAACCCCUAUGAUCAAUUAAACUCCACGAAAGCCAGGACACAAACUGGGAUUAGAUACCCCACUAUGCCUAGCCCUAAAUCUUGAUGCUUACUGCACUAAAGCAUCCGCCCGAGAACUACGAGCACAAACGCUUAAAACUCUAAGGACUUGGCGGUGCCCCAAACCCACCUAGAGGAGCCUGUUCUAUAAUCGACAACCCACGAUACACCCGACCACUUCUUGCCAGAACAGCCUACAUACCGCCGUCGUCAGCUCACCUUUCCUGAGAGCACAAUAGUGAGCAUAAUCGCCCUAACCCCGCUAGAAAGACAGGUCAAGGUAUAGCCCAUGGAGUGGAAGAAAUGGGCUACAUUUUCUAACCUAGAAAACCUACUUAACGGAAGGAAGCAUGAAACACUUCCCGAAGGCGGAUUUAGCAGUAAAGUGGGACUAUAAAGCCCCCUUUAAGCCGGCCCUGGGGUACGUACAUACCGCCCGUCACCCUCCUCAAAAAGCUCUAGCUUCUUAUAAAUAAUGCACCCCCAACGCCAAAGAUGAGGUAAGUCGUAACAAGGUAAGUGUACCGG
rnacentral:rRNA from 1 species